UGUCUCCCCUGGAAAACAAUCACCCCGAAUCCAGGCAAUAUAAACAUGGCCGAUCGCACCCAUGAUGAAUGAGGCUGGCCCCAACAGCCACUGGAUGACACCCGACAGCGGUCACAUGAUAAGGUAAUCGGUCUAGGGUGCGGCCAGUGGAAAUGAUCUCCGCUUUCCAAGCAAUGAAGGAUCAGAAUCCCAGAUGGCGACUGAUCCAAAGACUAGCUCACAAACUCAGCUGCCACGGCCGCAGUUUAACCUCCUCCGCCAGCUCGUCAGCCCGGGUGACGGCCAAGGUCGCAGACGCUCACUUGAGAGGCGAAAUGAGAGAGUCGAAGGAAUUAGAUCUGGGCUGAGUGGCCCUCAUCUGGCUAAGCCUGCCUGCAUGCUACACGGGAGGUACACAGAGGGAAGGAAGGACUCCGAGGGGCUACAGAUGGUGCGCCCAGGGCCUGGUGACUGAAGCUCCGAAUGAGCUCCUUUUGGAUGCAGCGUGGCGCUGAUGAGCAGGGCGGAAGACAAAGCACAGCGGAAGGAGGGCGUAAGGCGGUGCGA